rnacentral:misc_RNA from 1 species
UUUCCGUAGGUGAACCUGCGGAAGGAUCAUUCAUAAUAAGUGUUUUAUGGCACUUUUUUAAAUCCAUAUCCACCUUGUGUGCAAUGUCAGGGUUGAUCUUUCUCUCGAGAGGAUCAACCCCAAACAUCAACUAUAUCUCAACUCUUUGUCUGAAAAAUAUUAUGAAUAAAACAAUUCAAAAUACAACUUUCAACAACGGAUCUCUUGGUUCUG